rnacentral:rRNA from 1 species
GAUAUUCCUGUACCAGUUGUUUUUGUUUGAGCAAUGGAGGGACGCAGUAGGCUAAGGAAUGCAUGCGAUUGGAAGUGCAUGUCCAAGCAAUGAGUCUUGAGUAGAGUUAAAUGCUUUACUCUCUAAGGACAAGUUGUGACGGGGAGCGAAAUAAUAGUAGCGAAGUUCCUGAUGUCACACUGCCAAGAAAAGCUUCUAGU